rnacentral:rRNA from 1 species
UACAGAGGUCUCAAGCGUUGUUCGGAUUCAUUGGGCGUAAAGGGUGCGUAGGUGGCGAGGUUAGUCAGGUGUGAAAUCUCGGGGCUCAACCCCGAAACUGCACUUGAUACUGCCUUCUAGAGUACUGGAGAGGAGAUUGGAAUUUACGGUGUAGCAGUGAAAUGCGUAGAUAUCGUAAGGAAGACCAGUGGCGAAGGCGGGUCUCUGGACAGUUCCUGACGCUGAGGCACGAAGGUCAGGGGAGCAAACGGG